CUAAAAUAUAUUUUAUUAAGAACCCAAAGCAACCGAGAAUGUAGAUCCUUGCUCUGAGAUGGAGAACUCUCAAAUCCUUCGUCGGGGCUCUCGCCGGAAGCUCCAUUAUCCUUCGUUUCGAGGUUCGCCGGAGGGGAAUCGUCGCCGCCGAUUCAAGUGUCCUGACGUCUCCGUGCACCAGUUUCUCCGGCGGUUUGAUGUUGGCUCGCGGUUCCAUGGUCGCUACGCACCUUCCGUCGUCGUCGUCGUCGUCGCUGCUCUUCCUAAUCGCCCGCGACUCUAUUCGGUCCUUCGAUUGCUAUUCCACUGGGAGUAACGAUGACUCCGGCGGCUUUAUCUCCGAUCCUCCGUCCAUCAACUGAGAGCCACACCUGCCAGAGGGACCAAUGAGCUUGAGGGCGUUCCGUGGAGAUGAAGCCGGGGCGUUGGAACGUGAACCAUAGCAACGGCCGUCUCAUGAUUGCCGUGCGUGUCAUCACCUCAUCACCGCCAGGUUGUUUCUUUUCCAAUUAAAGUGAUUCGACUUCUUGGGCUCUUUGUCUAUAUCGCAUGUGGAGGAGGGACUUAUUUUGGCCGUACAAAAGAAGAAGAAGGGGCUCUCAUAUUCAAUAUAUACUUGUGGGUUCAGUAGAUUUGUCAGAGGAAGAAACAUGCAAAGGCGUGGGUUCUAAUUUUCUCAUCCCCUUCAGCCGCGUAAAAAGGUGGAGUUGUCCUUCUAGCUACGCGGAGAGGAAGAGGAACUCACGGUGAUCGUUUUUUGCGCGAAGAGUUUACAUCCUCCCUUCUCUUUCCGGAGAUGCGGGUGUUUCAAACCGUAAUUCUUCUAAAGGCUAAACACUGUGCUUUAGGUGGAAUGAGAAGCGCUUGAAAAUGUGAGCUGUCGUACUUUAUAAUCCUUCGAUUAUCCUUCGAUUGAUUAGUGGAUAAUUUGCAACCGAUCUCCCUCUAAAGUAGAUACUGACACUGGGACUUCAUGCAUUUCUUAUUGUUCCUUGUUGAUUUAUCUGGUUAUUUCA